ensembl:lncRNA
CCAACCUAAAAUGUGGGUAAAUACAUGGUGUGAAAUUUUCUUUUACUGCUUGAAGCUUGGCUUGUUAUUCCUGAGGCUUGUUACCUUUCUUUGAGUCAGGAUAUGUGCCGACGUAAACCACACUACCGAUUCAGCGUGCAGGAGACAUGACCUUGGGUUCUGGGAAUUUUUCAAAGUGUAGCCUUCCCAUGAGUUUUGUUGGUAGUGCAGGGACAGAAGAAUGUUUCUAGAAUUUUUUAUUUAUUUUUUUCAUUUUUUUGGUCUUUCGAGGGCUAUACCUGCAGCAUAUGGAGGUUCCCAGCCUAGGGGUUGAAUCAGAGCUGCAGCCCCCGGCCUACACCACAGCCACAGCAACCUGAGAUCUGAGCCACAUCUGUGACCUACACCACAGCUCACAGCAAUGCAGAAUCCUUAACCCAUUGAGUGAAGCCAGGGAUGAACCUGAGUCCCCAUGGAUGCUAGUCAGAUUUGUUAACCACUGAGCCAAGUCAAGAACUCCUAGAAUUUUUUUUUUUUUUUUUUCUUAAUGGCCACACCCAAGGCAUAUGGAAGUUCCUGGGUCAGGGAUUGAAUCUGAGCUGCAGCUGCAACCCAGUCUACUGCUAUUGGAUUCUUAACCCACUGCAUCACAGCAGGAACUCCUAGAAUUUUCUUCUUAGGGUCUCACCUGCAGCGUAGGGAAGUACCCAGGCUAGGGGUCAAAUUGGAGCUGCAGCUGCUGGCCUCUCCCUCAGCUUAAGGCAGCACCUGAUCCGUAACCCACUGAGUGAGGCCCGGGAUCAAACCCGCAUCCUCCUAUGCUAUGUCUGUCGGGUUCUUAACCNNNNNNNNNNNNNNNNNNNNNNNNNNNNNNNNNNNNNNNNNNNNNNNNUAAAUUUCCUCCACUGGAACAUUUUUGUAUAUAUAUAUUUAUCAAUUUUAAAGAUUUCUAAAGCCAAAAAAAAUCUUUUGUCUCUUAUUACAUACUCGUAGUUGAAUUUUCCCAUGGGGAAAAAAGUUAUGAGUUCUCUGCUGGAGCGGAUGCUUCAUAAAUGUACGCAGGCUUUACCGUUUUACAAGCACUUCCUGUGUGUUAUCUCAUUUAAUUCUCCUGACAAGCAUGUUGGGAAAGCCCCAUUUUUCGGAUGAGAAAAUUGAGACCCAGACGAGGUCUUGUGAGGGACAGCUGAGCUGAGACGCUCGGUCACUUCCAUGAUGCCCCAGAUGUGUCUCAAGACUGAUGUGUGUACAGUCUGUCUCGUGUUUGUGAGGCCGUGUUAACGAGUUCCAGGUUGGAACACACCCUCCCCAGCUGUGUCCCCCACCUGAGUCCUCGAGCGCUUUCAUCAACAGCAAUUGAUGAGAGGCCAGCGGAGAAUUGCAGGCGAGGCUUUCUUGGGGCUCCUGCUGCAGCUUGGGGGCGGGGAAGCCCUCACAGGGGCCCUUGCCCUCCUGCCAGGGCAGGCUGCUUCCUUAAAGGGGGGCAGGUGGAGCCGAUGGGGGGUGGCGCCGAAGCAGUGGCUUGAAAGGUCGGCCCCCUCCCCUGGUGAGGCUGUGUGCAGGGGUCACGUGGAGUCCGCUGCUUUUUCUCCUGGCACCUCAGCGGGGGCCAUUGGUCCGUGCCCUCCUUGCGUCUUAUUGUUCACAACUGCCCCCGCCUGCAGGACAGUCAGGUUUGCAGUCUCUCGUGGUUUCUUUGUAUUCUGUUGCUCAAGGAGAUGUCUGUGCAGGUGCAAGCACUCGGGUCAAAGGGCCCGGGAUCCCAGCCUCUCCCUUGGGCCGUAGGGCAAAUAGCCAUGCCUGGUCUCGUCCUCCCCAGAGCAGCUGGGAGUAACAGGCACAAGAAGGGAGUUUUAUCAGAGAGGAAGGGAGGGUUCCAGCGGAAGAGGGUGCAGAGGUGGGCGUGCUUCAGGAAGGGGGUGUCUUUACCCGCAUGGGUGCUUGUAGGUCACGGCUUCAGGUUGAGUACCGUCCAGCUACUUAAGCAUGUGUCAUAAAUGGUAAGCUGGAAUUUCUUUAGAAAUAAAGACCCUCGUUAGAUCAUACUAUCCACGUAGAAAUUGCCUUGUUUUAGGAAAACUAUUGUUUACAAUUUCUUGGCAUGUUAUCAUUAGUUUAAAGAAUGUCUAAAACGCUUUGAGUCAUCUGGAAUUUUUGGAUGGUUGAAACAAUUGGCUGUGUUUGUGGUUGGCAUGGGACAUUACCUAGGAAGCAUGCCUUUGCUCUAAGGCACAUACUUUAUUAAGUCAACUGUCUCAUAACGUUAAAAGUAAAAUAUUAAUUUAAAAUACAUAAGCUGAGAGUUCCCACCAUGGUGCAGUGGGUUGAGAACCUGGUUCGAGUUGCUGCAGAGGUGUAGAUUCGAACCCCAGCCCAAAUCAGUGGGUUAAAGGAUCUGACCCCAUAGGUUACAGCUGUGGCUCGGAUUCAGUUCCCAGCCCAGGAACUUCAUAUGCUGCAGGUGCAACCGUUAAAAAGUAAAAUAAAUUACGUAAGCUUAAGGAUUUAAUGAAUUUCACCCUCUUCACAAAACCAUAGCAAGAUUUUAUAAAGUCUGAUUAUUGCACCAAGUGCCUUAGAAAAAAGCUAAGUAGCUGUAGUCACUGACUGACUCUGCAGGAAAGGGGAGAAGAGCUGGAUUUGGAGUGGAAGUUUACGAAUCAAGUCGAGAGCUCAAAUUAGGUCACCUCCAAACUCUGUUCUAUGAUAGUUUUACAAAAUGUUAUCAUUAUCACAGAUCUGAAAUGAAUCCCCUAAACACUAAAAAAAACAGCUGCUCUUUACUGAUUGCUGGUCAUUUGCUGGAUGCCACACCCUUUAGGGAUGGCACUUUGUUUAGUCCUCACUGUCGGACAAGGUAGGUGCCCUCGACCUGGUUUUACAGGUGAGGAUUCUAAGGCUCAGGAAGGUUGAACACGUUGCCCAAGAUUACAGUUAGCAGCCCGAACUUAAAGCAGAAUCUGACUUUGAAGGCCUGCUUCUUGUCACUCGUGCUGAUGGCACAAAGUGAUUUUUACACUUAGGGUCAGCAUGUAGUUUGCCUUUUGUUUCCCUUUCCGAGGUAAGAAAGACAUCUAUUCUCGGUCUUUCUUGAUGGAACUUCCUUGCCCUAAGGCAUUACCCCAAUGCUGUUAAGCAAAUGUUAUACUUACAUGUUGAGCACCUAAGGCUCUUUAGUAGACUUUGGAAAUUAUUCCCAAAUCUAACAAAUCAGCCGCUACUCCCUUUAUAGGCCACGUGACAUGCCACCUGGGAAAAAAUCUUAUGGGGAAAAAAUAGCAUUUGAGCCAAGCCUUAAAGAACAGAUGGAACUUAAGUAGUAGCAGUGAUGAAAGAUACUCCACCCUUGGCAAUAAAACAGAUAAGCACAGUGGCAGAAAAAAUUCAGUGAGAGAGAAAGGCAAGUAGUUGAUUUUCUGAUGUUAAGCUGCCUUAGAACUUUUCUUUAAUAACAAGAACAGUAUAUGCAUUCAGGAUGCUGCCUGAUGUCUUGUUUGAGCACCCACUGUGUACAGGGCACUACACAUGGCAAUGCCAAGAUGAAUAAGACGUACGGUCCCUGGGACUCAGUCUAGCCAGGGAGACAGUCCCAGUGCAACAAACUGUAACAUGUCAGACCAACCUCAGUAGAAUACAGGUGUAAACAAAGCACUUGAUGGUAAUGUGGAAUCAAACCUGGAGCCUCAGCGCCGACUUUUACUUUGCUUUCUCCAUAAACCCGUCAAAUUAGCAUCUACAGUUUUCUGUUUGUUUGUUUUCUUUUUCACCCACACCUGAGGCAGUGCAUGGAAGUUCCUGGGCCAAGGAAUUGAAUCCGAGCCGCAGCUGCCACCUACAGUGCCAGAUCCUUAACCCACUGUGCUGGGUGGGGAUUGAACCCACACUGGCUCAGAGGCAACUUUAACCCACUGCACCCCCGCGGGAACGCCAGCAUCUACAGUGUUUAAUCUUUGCCCGAACCUCACGUAUUCGUUUAGCCGUUCACCUUUGUGUGUAUCUCAGCGCUGGAGCAUACAUUUGGAAUCCACCUUGGAAAUAAAAUUCUCUUUGCAGAGAAGCAUCUCCAGCUUCUCCCAUCCAAAACCUCACUCCCCCUCCCCCGGCCCUCCACAAACCUGUUAUUCUUCUAAUCUUUCUCUUGGUGGUACCACAUUAACCGGUCAAAAAUCUGCAGCCCAUCUGCCACUCUCACCUUUUCCCUUCGCCUUCAUCUCUGCUGCAGCUCAGUUUCUCAGGAGGUGCCAAUGGAUCUGGACCUUGAAGGUCCUAGAAAUGCAUUCUCUCUUCCCAACCUCUCCUCCUGCUCCUUUAGUUCAGAUGCCUUACCUUAAAUUAUUUUCUUGGCUUCCCUAGUUUCUAGUUAGCACUUGGCAACACACUCCCAGAAUUAUUCUCAUAGGUGCCCCUCGGUAGCCUAAUAAAUAGAGCACAGACUCCUUAGCACAUCAUGACUGCUUGAAGAUGCCCGUUGCGCCUCCCUCAGCAUCACCAGUUAGGCGCUGGUGAUGCAAGUAGUCAAACCUUGUUCCGAGGAAGCCGAGACCAGUGGGCCUGCCUCACAGGUCACUUCCCUGUUGUAGCUGCCGAUCCUUCCUCUCCCACCGCCCUGGAGCGUGUUAUCAUUGAGUGGUUCUGGAGAGUAUCCUUUCUGAUAUCCCUCCCCCCAGAAAAUGAUUAAGGAAGAUCUCAGUUCUCAGUUUGGCUGUGGUGGGGGCGGGGGGGACUGUGGACGUUUGUGGAUGAGUGAAGAGCUCCGAAAACCGCAACAGCCACGGAAUAUGCAGGAAGAAUUUUGGCUAAGACAACAAAGAAAGUAGCUGUGCCACACACAUCUCAUGCCCUUUGGAGCUCAUCAGCCUCGAGUCCCUGCAGAGAACUGGGCCCCGAGGGUCGGAGGAGCAUUAUUUAUUUUAUGCACUGGAGAGGCCUCAGUAACCUAACGUUAAGGGUUGCGAUGCAAUCACAGUUUUGACCCGAAAGCUGCAGUAGAGCCCAGACUCGAGCCUUUGUGGCUGCGGAAGGCAGGGACCCUGUGACAGGGUAGUUCUUAGUGUGUCCACCAGGCCUUGGCACCUCGGAGGCUGCGUCUCGGGCUUCUGGGCACCGGGCGGCUCUCCAGAAAGACCAGUUCCGAGAAGCCUCGUUUGUCUCCGUCGGACUCCCUGCGGAGUUUGAAGGGUCCUGUCCCAUUGCUCCAGCCACUCAGCCGUGAAGACAGUCGUCCCCCACUCCCGGGUGACCUGGCACCUUGCUGUCGGCUUCAGUGGUGUGCGUGUCGGGAUAGAAGAGUUUGGAUCAGCGUGGAACAGUGCAGGGCUCGGCAACCUGCUGCUGCCUCCUGUUUUUGUCAAGCUCACCAGCUAGAAAGAACGCUUUUUACACUUUUAAGUGAUUGGGGAAAAAAAAGAGUCCUGUGUCGUGACAUGGAAACCACGUGAAAGUCACAUUUCAGGAUUGGGAAAGUAUUUUUUUAAGCCAGCCACCCACCCCUCGUUUACCUGUCGCCUCCAGCUGCUUUUUCUCUCUGGAACAGCAGGCUUGAAGAGUAGUGACAGGCCAGACCCUCUGGCCAGCAGAGCUGAAAAUACUUGCUCUCUGGUCCUUUACAGGAAAGUCUGACUGCCGACUCCCAGGAGGGUGUGUGAUGUGGGGGAAAGGAGUGCCAGCCCACAGCUGUGAGGACAGAGGUGGUGUCCAGCGUGGUGACGGGUGUGGGAGGAGAGCCCUGGGGACUGCCCCUGGGACCCCCAGACAGCCGGUCAGCAGAGGUCUCUGCCCUGUGUUUGCCUCUGGCCCCUGAAUCUGGCAGUGGCUCUUUGCAACAAGGUUCCCAGGGGUAGUGGGUGAGCUGUGUGGGGGACCCAUUUCCCCGUUGGGUCUCUCAUCUUCAGAAAUAGGCGUUCAGGCCAGAGAGUGAGAAGUUGAAUUUUGCUCCCUGCACAGAGCUCCACGCCCAAAGGUGAGGGGGUAGCAGUCCCAUCUCUGCAUUGGUCGCAGUGUGCUGGAGGGCAGCUCAGCUGUCAGUGUUACUUUGGGCAGUUUUUUACAAAUGAAAGUCUUCUUUUGAAACUUCAGACAUACAAGCGUGAAAAAAAUCCAAUUAAUUUUUUUUUUCUUUCUGGAAGGAAGCUAGGGGGUUCCCAGUGUCCAUGAGGAUGCAGGUUUGAUCCCUGGCCUCAAUUAGUGGGUUAAGGAUCUGGCGUUGCUGUGGCUGUGGUGUAGGCCGGCAGCUAGAGCCCCGAUUCGACCCCUACCAAGAGAAAAGAAUCUAAAGAUCCUUACGGACCUUUUAAAACACCAGGGGGAGGAGUUCCCUUGUGGCACAGUGGGUUAAGGAUCUGCACUGUCACUGCAGUAGCUCAGGUCACUGCUCCGGGGCAGAUGUAAUCCCUGACUUGUGAAUUAGUAUGAGCUAGUGAAUUAGUAUGAGCUAAUGAUUUUGAGGGGUCAGAAGGAGGUAUUCGUCUGUGACGUAUAGUUUAUUAUUUAAUCUUUCUAGUCACCUGUAGAAGCCAUUCGCUUUUCUGUUGAACACAACUUUGUUCUGAAUUGGGGUGUUCUUAGGGAGAUUGCUACCCAAUUGAGCAGCUGUGGGUCUGGGCCCAAGGAUUUUUCACAUAACUUUUUUUUUUUUUUUUGCUUUUUAGGGCCACACCCGUUGCAUAUGGAAAUUCCCAGGCUAGGGGUCGAAUCCUACCCCUACACCACAGCCACAGCAACACCAGAUCUGAGCCGUGUCUUCGGCUUACGCCACAGCUCAUGGCAAUGCCAGAUCCCCAACCCACUGAGCAAGGCCAGGGAUCAAACCCGCAACCUCAUGGAUACUAUUUGGGUUCAUUUCCACUGCACAGCACAACAGGAACUCCUCACAUGACUUUUUUAUUGCUGAUGGCAACAAAAAUACAGAGGGCAUGAAAAUCAUUUGUGGUUGACAGUGGCUAGGAAGGAAUUAGUACUCGGAAUUACAUCAGUAGUGUAGAAUGCUAGGACCAAACCUAGGAAAUAGAGUGUAACAGAGCAAGUUAAAACCUUGCACCGAAUUUCUUUUUUUUUUUGGUCUUUUUAGGGCUGUACCCAUGGCAUAUGGAAGUUCCUGGGCUAGGGGUCAAAUCAGGGCUGUAGCCACUGGCCUACACCACAGCCACAGCCACGCCAGAUCCCAGCCUUGUCUACGACCCACACCACAGCUCACGACAAUGCCGGAUCCUAACCCACUGAGCGAGGCUGGGGAUUGAACCUGUGUCCUCAUGUACUAGUCAGAUUCGUUUCCACUGAGCCACGCUGGGAACUCCUUGCAUUGAAAUUUUUAUUUUAAAAAUAUCUUUAUAGCGUGAGGACACUGGCUUGACAAUAUUCAAGAGGAAAAAGAUCGAGGGUGGCUUAUUUUAUUUACGAAGCAGAGAAAACCUGUCGAGUUUUGGGUUUUUUCCCCCAGAAGGAUGUAUUAAGUUGUAUUGCACCCAGAUGGACAAAAUGCUAACCAAGUAACACUCUGACCAGGUGAUGCCCGAGCGGUUGCUUCCGACGUGAUUGACACUUUCCACCAGCAGUUCUGUGAGCCGUAGUAGUGAGGAGACCCCCAAAGCAGAGGGGGUGAGAAGUGAUUGAGAACUGGGGUGGAGGGGGUGCCGUUAACAGCUCACGUUAGCUGUGUUCAGUGCCUGAGAGGCUGGGCUGUGGGCCCUUCUGUUCUGCUCGCGGAAGACCUGGACUAGAGCCCUUCCCGCGAAGCAGGGGUAGGCUGCUGAUGAAAGCCUUGCUGAAACAGCACGUGCUCAGGACUGGAAAAGACUGGUCACAGUUUGAAAGGAAACGCCUAUGGUUUCAGGAGUUCCCGUUGUGGCUCAGCAGGUUGGGAGCCCAGCAUUCCUCUCUGUGAGCAUGUGGGGUCGAUCCCUGGCCUUGCUCAGUGGAUUAAGGAUCUGGCCUUUCCCUGAGCUGUGGCAUAGGUCGCAGAUGCGGCUCGGAUCGGGUGUUGCCAUGGCUGUGGUGUAGGCCUUAGCUGCAGCUCCGAUUCAGCCCUCUCGUGGGAACUUGCAUAUGCCCUGGGUGCAGCUGUAAAAAGAAAAAAAUAAAAACCUAUAUGGUUUCUAAGUUUCUAACUUGAGUAUUAUGGUGUUUAUGGGUGAUGAUUAUUGCCACUUAAAGAUCUGUCUGAUUCAUUAAUUUUACUGAUGGAGUUCCCGCUGUGGCGCAACAGGAUGGGCGGUGUCUCAGCAGCGCCAGGACACAGGUUCAAUCCCUGGCUUGGUACAGUGGGUUAAUGGAUCCCGCGCUGCCACAGCUGUGGUGCAGGUUGCACUUGCAGCUCAGAUGUGAUCCCUGGCCCAGAAACUCCAUAUGCCGUGGGGCGGCCAAAAAAAGAAAAAAUAAAUAAAAAUAUUUUAUUGGGUUUUACCAUGUGGCAAGUACCAUGCUAAGCAAUUGACAUGUAUUAUAUCUUUAAUUCCCACAACAACCCUGUGAAAUGGAUCGCAUUUGGGUCCUCUUUUACAGAUAAGGAGAAUGAGAUUUUUCUUAAAGAAGAGGUUAAAUAAAUGGCCCAUUUAUGUGUCAGGUGAGCAGGCAGAGCCAUUUUGGGGAUUCAAGCCCACAUCUGUCUAAUUCCAGCCCUUAGCUCUUAAUCAAUAUGCUGCACUGAUCCCUGUGUGACUUGUUUAUUAGUGUAUUAAAAGUGGUGUAGGAGUUCCCGUCGUGGCCCAGUGGUUAACGAAUCCGACUAGGAACCAUGAGGUUGAGGGUUUGGUCCCUGGCCUUGCUCAGUGGGUUAACGAUCCAGAGUUGCCGUGAGCUGUGGUGUAGGUUGCAGAUGCGGCUCGGAUCCCGCGUUGCUGUGGCUCUGGCGUAGGCCGGUGGCUCCAGCUCCAAUUCCACCCCUAGCCUGGGAACCUCCAUAUGCCAUGGGAGCGGCCCUAG